rnacentral:rRNA from 1 species
AGAGUUUGAUCAUGGCUCAGGAUGAACGCUGGCGGUAUGCCUAACACAUGCAAGUCGAACGGUCCUUAGGGACAGUGGCGGACGGGUGAGUAACGCGUAAGAAUCUGCCUCUAGGUCGGGGACAACAGCGGGAAACUGCUGCUAAUACCCGAUGUGCCGGAAGGUGAAAGGAAUCCGCCUGGAGAGGAGCUUGCGUCUGAUUAGCUAGUUGGAGAGGUAAAGGCUCACCAAGGCGACGAUCAGUAGCUGGUCUGAGAGGAUGAGCAGCCACACUGGGACUGAGACACGGCCCAGACUCCUACGGGAGGCAGCAGUGGGGAAUUUUCCGCAAUGGGCGAAAGCCUGACGGAGCAAUACCGCGUGAGGGACGAAGGUCUAAUGAUUGUAAACCUCUUUUCUCAGGGAAGAAGCAAUGACGGUACCUGAGGAAUAAGCAUCGGCUAACUCCGUGCCAGCCGCCGCGGUAAUUC